rnacentral:rRNA from 1 species
GUGGGGAAUAUUGCACAAUGGGGGAAACCCUGAUGCAGCGACGCCGCGUGAGUGAAGAAGUAUUUCGGUACGUAAAGCUCUAUCAGCAGGGAAGAAAAAAAGUCCUUUGGACUUUGGACGGUACCUGACCAAGAAGCCCCGGCUAACUACGUGCCAGCAGCCGCGGUAAUACGUAGGGGGCAAGCGUUAUCCGGAUUUACUGGGUGUAAAGGGAGCGUAGACGGCAGCGCAAGUCUGGAGUGAAAUGCCGGGGCCCAACCCCGGAACUGCUUUGGAAACUGUGCAGCUCGAGUGCAGGAGAGGUAAGCGGAAUUCCUAGUGUAGCGGUGAAAUGCGUAGAUAUUAGGAGGAACACCAGUGGCGAAGGCGGCUUACUGGACUGUAACUGACGUUGAGGCUCGAAAGCGUGGGGAGCAAACAGGAUUAGAAACCCUAGUAGUCC